UACGUAGGGUCCGAGCGUUGUCCGGAGUUACUGGGCGUAAAGCGCGCGCAGGCGGCGGUGUUGGCCCGGCGUGAAAGCCCCCGGCUCAACCGGGGAGAGUCGUCGGGGACCGCACCGCUUGAGGGCGGUAGGGGCUGGUGGAAUGCCUGGUGUAGUGGUGAAAUGCGCAGAUAUCAGGAGGAACACCGGUGGCGAAGGCGGGAUCUCGUGGGCCGAUACUGACGCUGAGGAGCGAAAGCGUGGGGAGCGAACAGG
rnacentral:rRNA from 1 species